GCUCGUAAACUAUAUUUUUUAUAGCAAUAGUAAACCAUUAAUUAAUUUAUUACAAUACGUCACUCAGCUGGCGAGCCUUCAAACCAGUUAUUUACUUAAAACUCAGUGAUAUUUCAAAAUUAGUAAUUAAUUUAACAUAUUGCAUAAGUGAUUUCUUCCAUAGAGUAGUUCUUAUCAAAUAAAUUCCAAUGUUAUUAUCUACAUCAGGCGACACUAUUUACAAAUAAUUGACUUUUUUUUUUAAUGAUUCAUAUCUCACAACUUGAUACAGUUCGUGGUUAAUUAUUUUAUUUUUUUUUAUUAUGAUGAUCUUUUACGUCAGAAAAACAUUAUGACGUUUUUAAAAAUAAAUAACCGAAAAAAAAAGGUAUUUAAAGGUGGGCGCGCUUGAAUUCAAAUCAUAAUUAAAAAUUCUGUCUAAUUAUAAAUACACGCGAUAAAUCAAAACUUUUAAAAUUUACAAUUUUAAUUUAAAUUAAACGAAUUUACAAUUUUUUAAUUUAAACGACAUUAAUUGUGUGAAGACUACUGCUAAUUUGUGGCCACUGCAUAUUUUAAUCAACAAAAAUGUAUACAAAAGCGUUAACUAUCUGUUUAAUGUUUACUUACAUUUCUCAAACUAUUCCACCUGCUGAGACUUUUCACAUAGAUCUUGAUGAGGUUGUGAAGCUUAUGGCGAAGGGUCUCUUUGAUGAUAUUGUGAUUCCCGUUGAAGUUAUUGGUAAAACUCUACCAAAACUUGAGAGUACCGAUUCGAGUAAAGAUGCACCUGAAAAUCUUCCUACGCCAGACGAACUCAUCAGUUUUAUACCAGAUUUCCCUCACGUAAAAAGUAGAUGUCCACCAGGUGAAGAUCUUCUGGAAGACGGGUCAUGUCUUCCUCCUAUGUAAUUCUUAAUUUAAUAAUUAAAAAAAAAAUUGUAACUUGCCAUUAUAUAUUUAUUUUGUAAAUUAUCAGUUCAAUUGUAAAUAAAUUUAUUUUUUAAAUAGUUUAGUACGACCUUCUUAUCGAUAUCUUUUAAGGAAGUUCAACCGAGUUUAAUGUAAAAAGGAUUUUCCAACUUUAAGAUUUGAAACUCAGUAUACAUGUAAAGAAGUACUUUA